GAAUCGUUCCCCUGGUUUUGCAUUAUGUGACCAAAACCAUCCACCUUCCAAUAUUUAUGAUUGUUAUGUACUUUGUCUUGGCUAUUGGUAGCGGAAUCUCUCUCCUUCUUUCAGCUUUUAAUUUAGUUAAAGAUUGGAUAAAGGCUUCAGCACCUGAGGAGGAGGUUGCCCCACCUGAGCAGGAACUCCCACAGUUCCCAGGUGCGCCUGAGCCAUGAUUUCAAGUUGCUGAUGCUGUCAUUGUUAGGGGAUGUGUCAACUAGCUAAAGGUUUAAUUUGCAGAAGUUUAGUUGAUGUAGUGUAAGAAUGCUUUAUUUGCUGAAGUUUAAGCGUAAGAAUGUAUAAUUUGCUGAAGUUUAAGCGUAAGAAUGUUUAAUUUGCUGAAGUUUAAUUAACGUGCAUGGUGUAAGAUGUUUUAUUUG